rnacentral:misc_RNA from 1 species
CCUUGUGGAGGAGGACGCCGAAGGUGGGGCUAAUGACUGGGGUGAAGUCGUAACAAGGUAGCCGUACCGGAAGGUGCGGCUGGAUCACCUCCUAACAGGGAGACAACAAAAUGUUUAAUAUUAUUAUUUUGUCACCUUAGGUCGAUCGGUAUCUCACGUUCUUUUACUUACAAAGAAUUUCAUUUCCUAAGUUUUUCUAGGUCACACCCAUUAUUUUUCCUGGGCCAUUAGCUCAGGUGGUUAGAGCGCACCCCUGAUAAGGGUGAGGUCCCUGGUUCAAGUCCAGGAUGGCCCAUAUCUCUAUGUUGGGGGUAUAGCUCAGUUGGUAGAGCGCCUGCUUUGCAAGCAGGAUGUCAGCGGUUCGAGUCCGCUUACCUCCACUGAUCACCACCUCUUCCAUAUUUUGUAGAAAGGAAAUGUAUUGAGUUGUGAUCACGUUCUGAACGAAUCUAGCUUCCUAAUGAAACCAUUAAGAUGCUGGACUCAUUGAAUUAAUUUCAUUGUUUUCAGAGAACCUUGACAACUGCAUAGAUUAUUUUUAAAGACAAUAAGCAUCUUUAAUGAUGCAGAUUUAUUAUUUGUGCGAAUGCAUUAAUAACAAUUCUAUUAAGCUGAUGCUUCAAUUUUGAAGUUAUUGGUCAAGCUACAAAGGGCUCACGGAGGAUACCUAGGCACAC